CUGAUAAAUUAUUAAAGGGCUGCAGUAUUUUGACUGUACAAAGGUAGCAUAAUCAUUAGUCUCUUAAUUGGUGACUUGUAUGAAAGAUUGGAUGAAAUAUAAUCUGUCUCUAAUUUAUAUAAAGAAUUUAAUUUUUUAGUUAAAAAGCUAAAAUAUAUUUAAAAGACGAGAAGACCCUAUAGAGUUUUAUAUUAAAAUUAAUUAAGAUUAUAUUUUAAAUUAAUAAUUGAAAUUAUUUUAAAUAUUUUAUUGGGGUGAUAGAAAAAUAUAAUUAACUUUUUUUAGUUUUAUACAUAAAUAAGUGAAUAAAUGAUCCAAAAUUUUUGAUUAUAAGAAAAAAUUACCUUAGGGAUAACAGCGUAAUUUUUUUUUUUAGUUCAAAUAAGAAAAAGAGUUUGCGACCUCGAUGUUGGAUUAAGAUAAAAUUUAUAUGCAAAAGUAUAAAAUUUUGAUCUGUUCGAUC
rnacentral:rRNA from 1 species